rnacentral:sRNA from 1 species
UGUUGUCUUCUCCAAGGUGAUCUCUUGGUUCUGAGAUGCGUCUUCCUGUUUGUUA